GAACUGCGAUAAGUAAUGUGAAUUGCAGAAUUCAGUGAAUCAUCGAGUCUUUGAACGCACAUUGCGCCCCCUGGCAUUCCGGGGGGCAUGCCUGUCCGAGCGUCAUUGCUGCCCUUCAAGCCCGGCUUGUGUGUUGGGUCGUCGUCCCCCCCGGGGGACGGGCCCGAAAGGCAGCGGCGGCACCGCGUCCGGUCCUCGAGCGUAUGGGGCUUUGUCACCCGCUCGAUUAGGGCCGGCCGGGCGCCAGCCGGCGUCUCCAACCUUCUAUUUUACCAGGUUGACCUCGGAUCAGGUAGGGAUACCCGCUGAACUUAAGC
rnacentral:misc_RNA from 1 species